AGUGGGAUAGCUGGGUCAAAUGGUGGUUCCAUUCCCAGUUUUCUGAGGAAUCUCCAUACUGCUUUCCAUAGUGGUUGCACCAACUUGCAGUCCUACCAGCAAU
rnacentral:pre_miRNA from 1 species